rnacentral:tRNA from 1 species
GGCUCCAUAGCUCAGGGGUUUGAGCACUGGCAUUGUAAACCAAGGGUUGUGAAUGCAAAUCUCACUAGGGCCA